rnacentral:rRNA from 1 species
GACGGGUGAGAAUCCCGUCCACCGAUUGACUAAGGUUUCCAGAGGAAGGCUCGUCCGCUCUGGGUUAGUCGGGUCCUAAGCUGAGGCCGACAGGCGUAGGCGAUGGAUAACAGGUUGAUAUUCCUGUACCACCUAUAAUCGUUUUAAUCGAUGGGGGGACGCAGUAGGAUAGGCGAAGCGUGCGAUUGGAUUGCACGUCUAAGCAGUAAGGCUGAGUAUUAGGCAAAUCCGGUACUCGUUAAGGCUGAGCUGUGAUGGGGAGAAGACAUUGUGUCUUCGAGUCGUUGAUUUCACACUGCCGAGAAAAGCCUCUAGAUAGAAAAUAGGUGCCCGUACCGCAAACCGACACAGGUAGUCAAGAUGAGAAUUCUAAGGUGAGCGAGCGAACUCUCGUUAAGGAACUCGGCAAAAUGACCCCGUAACUUCGGGAGAAGGGGUGCUCUUUAGGGUUAACGCCCAGAAGAGCCGCAGUGAAUAGGCCCAAGCGACUGUUUAUCAAAAACACAGGUCUCUGCUAAACCGUAAGGUGAUGUAUAGGGGCUGACGCCUGCCCGGUGCUGGAAGGUUAAGAGGAGUGGUUAGCUUCUGCGAAGCUACGAAUCGAAGCCCCAGUAAACGGCGGCCGUAACUAUAACGGUCCUAAGGUAGCGAAAUUCCUUGUCGGGUAAGUUCCGACCCGCACGAAAGGCGUAACGAUUUGGGCACUGUCUCAACGAGAGACUCGGUGAAAUCAUAGUACCUGUGAAGAUGCAGGUUACCCGCGACAGGACGGAAAGACCCCGUGGAGCUUUACUGUAGCCUGAUAUUGAAAUUCGGCACAGCUUGUACAGGAUAGGUAGGAGCCUUUGAAACGUGAGCGCUAGCUUACGUGGAGGCGCUGGUGGGAUACUACCCUAGCUGUGUUGGCUUUCUAACCCGCACCACUUAUCGUGGUGGGAGACAGUGUCAGGCGGGCAGUUUGACUGGGGCGGUCGCCUCCUAAAAGGUAACGGAGGCGCUCAAAGGUUCCCUCAGAAUGGUUGGAAAUCAUUCAUAGAGUGUAAAGGCAUAAGGGAGCUUGACUGCGAGACCUACAAGUCGAGCAGGGUCGAAAGACGGACUUAGUGAUCCGGUGGUUCCGCAUGGAAGGGCCAUCGCUCAACGGAUAAAAGCUACCCCGGGGAUAACAGGCUUAUCUCCCCCAAGAGUUCACAUCGACGGGGAGGUUUGGCACCUCGAUGUCGGCUCAUCGCAUCCUGGGGCUGUAGUCGGUCCCAAGGGUUGGGCUGUUCGCCCAUUAAAGCGGUACGCGAGCUGGGUUCAGAACGUCGUGAGACAGUUCGGUCCCUAUCCGUCGUGGGCGUAGGAAAUUUGAGAGGAGCUGUCCUUAGUACGAGAGGACCGGGAUGGACAUACCUCUGGUGUACCAGUUGUCGUGCCAACGGCAUAGCUGGGUAGCUAUGUGUGGACGGGAUAAGUGCUGAAAGCAUCUAAGCAUGAAGCCCCCCUCAAGAUGAGAUUUCCCAACUUCGGUUAUAAGAUCCCUCAAAGAUGAUGAGGUUAAUAGGUUCGAGGUGGAAGCAUGGUGACAUGUGGAGCUGACGAAUACUAAUCGAUCGAAGACUUAAUCAA